rnacentral:rRNA from 2 species
UGAGGAAUCUUGGACAAUGGGGGAAACCCUGAUCCAGCGACGCCGCGUGAGUGAUGAAGCCUUUCGGGGUGUAAAGCUCUUUCAGCGGGGACAAUCAUGAUGGUACCCGCACAAGCAGCUGCGGCUAACUACGUGCCAGCAGCCGCGGUAAUACGUAGGCAGCAAGCGUUGUUCGGAAUUACUGGGCGUAAAGCGAGUGUAGGCGGUCUGCCAAGUCUGUUGUGAAAUCUCCCGGCUCAACUGGGAGGGUGCGUCGGAAACUGGCAGGCUCGAGUGCGAGAGGGGAGAGUGGAAUUCCUGGUGUAGCGGUGGAAUGCGUAGAUAUCAGGAGGAACACCGGUGGUGAAGACGGCUCUCUGGAUCGCCACUGACGCUGAGACUCGAAAGCGUGGGGAGCAAACAGG